UACGAAGGGGGCUAGCGUUGUUCGGAUUUACUGGGCGUAAAGCGCACGUAGGCGGAAUGUUAAGUCAGAGGUGAAAUCCUGGAGCUCAACUCCAGAACUGCCUUUGAUACUGGCAAUCUAGAGUCCGGAAGAGGUGAGUGGAACUCCUAGUGUAGAGGUGGAAUUCGUAGAUAUUAGGAAGAACACCAGUGGCGAAGGCGGCUCACUGGUCCGGUACUGACGCUGAGGUGCGAAAGCGUGGGGAGCAAACAGG
rnacentral:rRNA from 1 species